rnacentral:miRNA from 1 species
UGAUGAUGAUAAUGAUGAUGAUAAUGAUGAUGAUCAUUAUGGCUACGACGACGAUUUGAAACGGCUAUGUGUAGAGUAGUGGUACUCAUUCUCCUCCUCAUCAUCAUCACGAUCA